rnacentral:tRNA from 1 species
GCGCCCUUAGCUCAGCUGGAUAGAGCAACAGCCUUCUAAGCUGUGGGUCAGAGGUUCGAAUCCUCUAGGGCGCG